ACACGGGAAAGGAGGUGGUCCGAGCGAUGAUGUCUCUUCGGACGCGUGAGGUGACUGUCCGCUAGUCGCCCGAGUGCAUCGGACGGAGUGCCUCCGGUCCCCUACCGCAUCAGGCGCGGCAGCGAGACCCAGGCAGUCACCGCAGCCCGUGGGAGUCGUGGUCUCGUCCACCACGACGCGCCGGUCGUCCCGACCGGUAGCCCACGGGCUGUCCCGU
rnacentral:sRNA from 1 species